CGGUGUUCAACUGGCGUGUCCGCGGGACGUCCUGCCGGUGGGCUUAGCCCGCAAGGGCGGCCCAACUUCAAAUCCCAUCGCGGUGCUCUUCACUGAGUGUCGAGGUGGGCCGGCACGUUUACUUUGAACAAAUUAGAGUGCUUAAAGCAGGCUAAAACUUCGCCUGAAUACUGUGUGCAUGGAAUAAUGGAAUAGGACCUCGGUUCUAUUUUGUUGGUUUUCGGAACCCCGAGGUAAUGAUUAAUAGGAACGGAUGGGGGCAUUCGUAUUGCGACGUUAGAGGUGAAAUUCUUGGAUCGUCGCAAGACGGACAGAAGCGAAAGCAUUUGCCAAAAACGCUUUCAUUGAUCAAGAACGAAAGUUAGAGGUUCGAAGGCGGUCAGAUACCGCCCUAGUUCUAACCAUAAACGAUGCCAGCUAGCGAUCCGUCGACGUUCCUCCGAUGACUCGACGGGCAGCUUCCGGGAAACCAAAGCUUUUGGGUUCCGGGGGAAGUAUGGUUGCAAAGCUGAAACUUAAAGGAAUUGACGGAAGGGCACCACCAGGAGUGGAGCCUGCGGCUUAAUUUGACUCAACACGGGAAACCUCACCAGGCCCGGACACCGGAAGGAUUGACAGAUUGAGAGCUCUUUCUUGAUUCGGUGGGUGGUGGUGCAUGGCCGUUCUUAGUUGGUGGAGCGAUUUGUCUGGUUAAUUCCGAUAACGAACGAGACUCUAGCCUGCUAACUAGGCGUAUUUUCGACAUCUCAAAGGUCCGUCGUCCCGGCCCUCGGGUCGUGGGCGUGCGCGAUUUUUACUGUCGGCGUACUAUCAAUUCUUCUUAGAGGGACAGGUGGCUUCUAGCCGCACGAGAUUGAGCAAUAACAGGUCUGUGAUG
rnacentral:rRNA from 1 species